CCUACGGGAGGCAGCAGUGGGGAAUAUUGCACAAUGGGGGAAACCCUGAUGCAGCGACGCCGCGUGAGUGAAGAAGUAUCUCGGUAUGUAAAGCUCUAUCAGCCGGGAAGAAAAUGACGGUACCUGACUCAGAAGCCCCGGCUAACUACGUGCCAGCAGCCGCGGGAAUACGUAGGGGGCAAGCGUUAUCCGGAUUUACUGGGGGUAAAGGGAGCGUAGACGGCAGCACAAGUCUGGAGUGAAAUGCCGGGGCUUAACCCCGGAACUGCUUUUGAAACUGUGCAGCUAGAGUGCAGGAGAGGUAAGUGGAAUUCCUAGUGUAGCGGUGAAAUGCGUAGAUAUUAGGAGGAACACCAGUGGCGAAGGCGGCUUACUGGACUGUAACUGACGUUGAGGCACGAAAGCGUGGGGAGCAAACAGGAUUAGAUACCCGAGUAGUC
rnacentral:rRNA from 1 species